AAAAGGCUCAUGAAACGGCACCGUUUAGGCAUAAAUAAAGGGAAUACUCCUACUUUUCCUUCCCUCUCUUCAUUCCCUCAUAACCCACCGCUUCUCUCUCUCUUCUUCUCUGAUGAAGUACUUGCAGAGAAAACUUCGGUGAAUCGGCCAUAGCUCGCCACACUGAACUAUUUUUUGAUUGGAGCAUCAAGAAGCACAACAAGAUUCUACUUGUCUUUCUAAUCGCUCGAGUCUAAGAUUUCAGUGCAUAACAUGUCCAAAAGCGAUAAAUAAUGGGUGAAACCAGGCGACCUCACAAAACAGAAGCAAAAUGGUUACAAGAAGAGGAGAAAGAACAAUGUCAAAGAGAAUGAAAACGAAUACGAGAUGAUGAGAAACAACAAAGUCAAAGAGAAUGAAAAGAGGGUGCAAGCUAUGGGGUUGCCAGCUUCAAGCGGUUUCAUUCAUUACGUACAUGUGAAGAGGAAUGGCAAACUAAUCAGGGCUGAGGCAGAUGAUGACAGCUCACCUGGUAAUGAGGAUGAUAGUGAUUGCGACUCUGAUCCGUCAGAUGACUCUUUUGAACAAGAGGUUGCAAGGAUGCAAGUGGUGCCUGAAAUGCAGCCUGGAACAUCGCAUCUUCAAAGAGCCCCUACCAGAAACCAACAUGAUGCGAGCCCCAUCCGUGAGAGGGUGACCCGAUCGACCCCACAUCCAUAUGUGGGUACCCAACCUCCACAACCUCUUGAUGCCAAGCAAGAGAUUUAGGCAGCCCCCUUUGUAGCACCUGUCGUUGCUGAUAGACCUAUUCGUGGCCCGACACGAGGCUUGAUGGUUCAGCAAAUAUUCGACAAAGAAGGAAAGCUUCUUGUUCCCAUCCCAUAGUGUUUUUGUGCACCUGUCGGGAAGUAUGCUUGUAAACUUGCCACAGAUUAGUGUAGAGGUUUGGACAAAAUUUGGAAGAUCUUACUAUCUGUAGAUGGAAAGCUGCAGAUGAAAGUGUGAAGGCACCUAUGCUUCAACGCAUUAAGGAUCGAUUUAUCUUGGAGGGAGAUCCUAUAGAUAUUGAGAAGGCAGUGGCAAGACAAUUUGGCCAUCGACUGAGUGAUUACACCCAUACGCUUUACAGAAAGUACAAGAAGCUUAAGAGUACUAAGGGGGUAGAGUAUGCCAGAAGCCACCCACCAUCUGGCAUCACUCACAAACAGUGGAUCGGUCUAAUUGAUAAGAAAUGGAGUGAUACCAAAAUUUAGAACAAAUCAACUAAAAACAUAAAGAACCGGAGUGAAAUGAAGUCCAAACAUAGAUGUGGUUCGAAGUCCAUCCCAGUGAGGGUAGAUGCAAUGAUGAAAACCAAUGGGAAUCAUGUGCCGGACUUGAAAGAAGUUUACAAAUCUACCCACUUCAAUGAAGAUACAAAAAUGUGGAUCUCUGAAGAAUCCGAGAAGAACUAUGGCAAGAUCAUAGAGGUAGAGGCUGAACAUUGUACUGAGGCUGGUGUGACACCGAUCACACAAGAUGAGCUUUCAAUCAAGUCGCUCAAGGCAAAAUUAGGAUACGUUAAAGGACUGGGUAUGAGACCUUCCUCAUCUCUUAGGACCAUUGUUGCAUCUGCAUCUACAUCCAACAGUCAAUAUGUAUCGCAUCUUGAGUCGCUGGUACAAGAAUAUCAAGAGGAAAGGCAAGCACAACAGCAAAAGAUAGAUGUGCUUUCAGAGUCAAACAAGCAGAUGGAGUUGACGACAGCUACGAUCAUGGAGUAUUUGAAACACCAAGGGAAUGGAUUCAGCGAAUAUAUUGAGAAUUCAAGGAGCACAUGAACAACAUGCUGGAUGAUUGAAUAUGCAGAAGGUUGGUGGUAUAUAUGAGAAGGCCAAGAUCUUUUUUUGUUGAUACUUCUUUUUGUUGGUGGUAUAUAUGAGAAGGCCAAGAUCUUUUUGUGUUGAUACUUCUUUUGGUUAUGAUGGGCCGUCCGACAACUUUUCCUUUUUGUUUCGCGUCUUCAACCACUACUCACUAAGUGCAUCACUUAUGUUAUUAUCUAUGUUCAGUUAACUUGGUUCUUUUUGGACAGUGAAUGGACACCUUGAAACCUUUGUUUAGCUGUUUAUGGUAAUAUGAAGGUUAUUAGUGACUUCUGUAAGAUGCAUUUUUAUGUUACGCCAUUUUUUUCCCUUUGUGUAAAAUUUUGUUGAUUGGAUUUGGGAGUGCUUUAAAAUGGACAGGGUGAACGAAAAAACACCAAUUGUAAAUUAGCGACGAAAUAAGUUCUCUCCAAUUACCAGAUAAUUAUUUUUAAAAAAUCUUUUGGACGAGGA